rnacentral:rRNA from 1 species
UACGGAGGGAGCUAGCGUUGUUCGGAAUUACUGGGCGUAAAGCGCGCGUAGGCGGCUUUGUAAGUUAGAGGUGAAAGCCCGGGGCUCAACCCCGGAACUGCCUUUAAGACUGCAUCGCUUGAAUCCGGGAGAGGUGAGUGGAAUUCCGAGUGUAGAGGUGAAAUUCGUAGAUAUUCGGAAGAACACCAGUGGCGAAGGCGGCUCACUGGACCGGUAUUGACGCUGAUGUGCGAAAGCGUGGGGAGCAAACGGG